GCAGUGGUGGUUCGGUGGUAGAAUUCUGGCCUUCCAUGCAGGAGUCCCAGGUUCGAUUCCCGGCCAGUGCA
rnacentral:tRNA from 1 species